UCCGUAGGUGAACCUGCGGAGGGAUCAUUACCGAGUUAUUCAACUCAUCAACCCUGUGAACAUACCUAAACGUUGCUUCGGCGGGAAUAGACGGCCCCGUGAAACGGGCCGCCCCCGCCAGAGGACCCUUAACUCUGUUUCUAUAAUGUUUCUUCUGAGUAAAACAAGCAAAUAAAUUAAAACUUUCAACAACGGAUCUCUUGGCUCUGGCAUCGAUGAAGAACGCAGCGAAAUGCGAUAAGUAAUGUGAAUUGCAGAAUUCAGUGAAUCAUCGAAUCUUUGAACGCACAUUGCGCCCGCCAGUAUUCUGGCGGGCAUGCCUGUUCGAGCGUCAUUACAACCCUCAGGCCCCCGGGCCUGGCGUUGGGGAUCGGCGGAGCCCUUUGUGGGCACACGCCGUCCCCCAAAUACAGUGGCGGUCCCGCCGCAGCUUCCAUCGCGUAGUAGCUAACACCUCGCGACUGGAGAGCGGCGCGGCCACGCCGUAAAACACCCAACUCUUCUGAAGUUGACCUCGAAUCAGGUAGGAAUACCCGCUGAACUUAAGCAUAUCAAUAAGCGGAGGA
rnacentral:rRNA from 1 species